rnacentral:rRNA from 1 species
GACGUAGGGCGCAAGCGUUGUCCGGAAUUAUUGGGCGUAAAGAGCUCGUAGGCGGUCUGUUGCGUCGGCUGUGAAAACCCGGGGCUCAACUCCGGGCCUGCAGCCGAUACGGGCAGACUAGAGUUCGGCAGGGGAGACUGGAAUUCCUGGUGUAGCGGUGAAAUGCGCAGAUAUCUGGAGGAACACCGGUGGCGAAGGCGGCAUCCUGGACCAACACUGACGCUGAGGAGCGAAAGCCAGGGGAGCAAACGGG